CUGCCACGCGGGAGGUUGGAGAGUGCUGGCCGUGUCUGGCGAUCUUGUUUGUCUGAGGGACAUGGUUGGCCAGAGGUAUAUCCUUGCCAAACUAAUCAAGCCAGGGAAGUGGUAAAGGCACUGUUACAAGAAAUAAUCCCCAGAUUUGGUGUCCCAGCAACCAUGUCCUCAGAUUGGGGAUCACAUUUUAUGGUCGAGAUCGUCCAAAGAGCAAACCCCUGGAGCCAAGGUGGAGAGGUCCCUAUCAAGUGCUACUGACUACUCGCACUGCAAUCAAAGUUCAACAGCAACUUCCUUGGAUACAUUACACCGGAGUCAAGAAGGCCCUGAGACCUGUAUGGACAAUGCAGCCAGCAGGGAAUUUGAAAAUAAAACGAAGCGUAAAGCAUCAAAUGAGGACUAAAGAUAUUCUGAAACUUCUGACUCUAUUGCUGUAUACAGUAACAGAAACAAGGACCUGGACUGAAAAUAUGUAGGUAUGAAAUUUAGAAACUUUACUAAAGGUCGCAAAUGCUACAGAUUGCUGGAUAUGUAAUGCCUGAGGAGAAAUGAAUCUACCAUUAUAUGGAAUGGCUGCCAAAACCUGGAAAAAGGACAACGGUACUUGGCCUGCAUUCUGGGCAAACAAAGGAAACCCCGAUAACGGAUUUUGUGAAAAGGACACUGAAACCAACCACCCUUUGGGACCAAAGUUGGAUCUGCAGAUACUACAAGAAGGGAGUUUUGCGGUGUUAGUGAGCAGUAAUAGCUGCCACUGGGAAACUGGCCAUUACAACACAGGUCCUCUUUUCUAUGAAUUUUGUCAAUAAGGAUGGAACAAAGACC